rnacentral:misc_RNA from 1 species
AAGUCGUAACAAGGUUUCCGUAGGUGAACCUGCGGAAGGAUCAUUACAAGAGUAUUUCAGUUUGGCUAUAUGCCUCUGAAAAUCUCCACCCUUUGUUUACAUUACCUUUUGUUGUUGCCUCGGUGGGUGCUACCAUACACCUGCCGGCAGACACCUUUUAAAACCCUUGAUUUAAUACUAUAGUCAGAGCUGUAACAAGCAAAAGAUUAAUAAAUCAAAACUUUCAACAACGGAUCUCUUGGUUCUG